GAUGAACGCUGGCGGCGUGCCUAAUACAUGCAAGUCGAGCGAACGGACGAGAAGCUUGCUUCUCUGAUGUUAGCGGCGGACGGGUGAGUAACACGUGGAUAACCUACCUAUAAGACUGGGAUAACUUCGGGAAACCGGAGCUAAUACCGGAUGAUAUUUUGAACCGCAUGGUUCAAAAGUGAAAGACGGUCUUGCUGUCACUUAUAGAUGGAUCCGCGCUGCAUUAGCUAGUUGGUAAGGUAACGGCUUACCAAGGCAACGAUGCAUAGCCGAUCUGAGAGGGCGCGGGGCCACACGGGACCGGAAACACGGUCCGCCCCCCUGGGGGGGGAGCAAGUGGGGAAUUUUCCGCAAGGGGCGAAGGCCUGAGGGAGAAACGCGGGGGGAGUGAUAAGGGUCUUCGGAUCUAAAACCUCUUUUAUUGGGAAAAAACAUAGUUGAAGUUAACUGGGCACAUCUGGACGUAACUUAAUAAAAAAGCCCGGGCAAACUACGGG
rnacentral:rRNA from 1 species